GUUGCACUGUAUCAUAAAAGGUUGUCUGCAUUAUAUUUACAUUAUAUUUGUAUACAUGUAAGUAGACAUGAAUAUGAACUGUAGCUCGUGAGUGGGUGUUAGUCUGUAACGGUUGUUAUUCUUCUAUCAUUUCCCUCUUCCAUUAAAAGCAAUGUCCUGACUCUCUGUGACCUCUUUCCUUUGUGACAGAUGAGUGUGGAGAGUGAUGACACGCGAAGCACACGRACACGCUCCAAGGGAAUCAGAGUUCCUAUAGAGCUUGUUGGACAAGAGCUGAGCUGCCCCACCCCUGGAUGCAAUGGCUCUGGCCACAUCAGUGG
rnacentral:lncRNA from 1 species